AUGAGUUGUGAUAGGGUUUGAUGCUGGCAGCCAGUUUUUUUGGAUGCAUGUGCUCACCCUAGCAAUCAUCUUCCCAAACACCAUGUGCACAUUUUGAGGGAAUUUUGAGUAGGUCCCCACCGCUUUGGGGGGUGAUUUUCUUGUUAUACAUAAACUCGUUAAUUUAAUGAAUAUAUCAAGUCGAAAGACUUAUAAUAUCUAAA
rnacentral:misc_RNA from 1 species